CUUCAACCCUAAAGCUAGCUAUAGCAGAGGCAGAGAAACGAGUCCCUGCUAGUACUUCUGUCCAUAUUACUCUAGCAGUACCUUUCCUCUCAGAUUCUGCAGGUAGCAUAUCUGAAUCUUGUUCUCUGCAUUUUAUCCGAUCUUCAUGUUCACGAUGAUCAAAUGCAUGCAGCUGCAGCUGAACCUAUUGUAUUCAGCCACGACUAAGAAGGUCGACGCAGGCAGUUGAUGGCCGGAGUCAUCUUCUUUCGUUUGUAUUAAUGAUCUAAUUACAGUAGUACCACUAGUUGAUUGAGAUUGCCUUUGUUGUGUGGUUUUUGGUUGUGUCGAACAUGAUGAUCUUUACCUUUCAUUAACAGUACUAACUUUUGUCUCUUUACACCUCGGAAAAUUAUUUCAUUACAUGCUUAAUACAUAAAUAAUAUAAUGUAUUUACAUCUGUCAAUUGUCAAUAUUAUUGUUGUACUUAUUCUUCACAAGCUGCAGUCUGGAGCCAGUUUGGGUUGCCAUGUUGACCACGCAAGGUACGUGGCAUGCAGCUGCCAAAACCUACAAGCUUAAUUUGAACAAGAAAUGCAGUUUCUACAUAUAUUCACACACAUAAAGGAUCUCGAGGUCGAGCUAGGGAGAUAAGUCGAAGUUGUUGCUGGGUCGACGUCAAUCCGUGUCAGCUUCUUGGAAAAUCUCACAAGGAACAACCCGGACAAGACCAUGCCAAAUAUCGGAUGGUAAAAUAAUUUGUCGGAUUAUAUAAAAAUAAUUACGUAAACUUAUAUAUCAUAUUAUAAAAUUAUUUAUAUUAUAAAAUAAAUUUUACGAAUAAAAUGAAGUUAUAUUAAUUUAUGAAAUUAUAUUUAUGUAAUUUCUUUUUAUUUUUUGUAAAUCAUGCAAAAAUAUUAUUACGUGAAACAAUCGACGUAGAUGGCUUGAAUUCUUAUA